rnacentral:rRNA from 1 species
CUACGGGUCGCUCCAGUGGGGAAUAUUGCACAAUGGAGGAAACUCUGAUGCAGCAACGCCGCGUGGAGGAUGACACUUUUCGGAGCGUAAACUCCUUUUAUAUAGGAAGAAGAUGACGGUACUAUAUGAAUAAGCGCCGGCUAACUCCGUGCCAGCAGCCGCGGUAAUACGGAGGGCACAAGCGUUACUCGGAAUCACUGGGCAUAAAGAGCGUGUAGGCGGAUUAAAAAGUCAGAAGUGAAAUCCUAUAGCUUAACUAUAGAACUGCUUCUGAAACUCUUAAUCUAGAAUAUGGGAGAGGUAGAUGGAAUUUCUGGUGUAGGGGUAAAAUCCGUAGAGAUCAGAAGGAAUACCGAUUGCGAAGGCGAUCUACUAGAACAUUAUUGACGCUGAGACGCGAAAGCGUGGGGAGCAAACAGGAUUAGAUACCCCGGUAGUC